rnacentral:rRNA from 1 species
UGAGGAAUAUUGGUCAAUGGGCGGAAGCCUGAACCAGCCAAGUAGCGUGAGGGAUGACUGCCCUAUGGGUUGUAAACCUCUUUUAUAAGGGAAUAAAAUACGGGACGUGUCCUGUUUUGCAUGUACCUUAUGAAUAAGGACCGGCUAAUUCCGUGCCAGCAGCCGCGGUAAUACGGAAGGUCCGGGCGUUAUCCGGAUUUAUUGGGUUUAAAGGGAGCGCAGGCGGUCUUAUAAGCGUGGCGUGAAAUGCAGCGGCUCAACCGUAUGAUGUGCGUCGCGAACUGUGAGACUUGAGUGUAUUCGAUGUCAGCGGAAUUUGUGGUGUAGCGGUGAAAUGCUUAGAUAUUAGGAGGAACACCAGUGGCGAAGGCGGCUUGCUGGGCCUUUACUGACGCUGAGGCUCGAAAGCGUGGGGA